GCAUUCCCUUGGAAACUAAGGGUGGCUAAGGGUACUUUUCGUUCCUCACUUACCCUAUGGCAAGCAAAAAGUUGCUCUACCUUCAUCUCCCAAUCUAGAUAUACUUCUACAUUUUCCUUUCCAUGAAAAUGAGGUAGGUCUACUCUUGUUUCCCUUGGCACCUCUUGUUCCCUUUGCCUAGUUCUUCUAGGGGGUGGUUGGUAAUAAU
rnacentral:lncRNA from 1 species